AGAGUUUGAUCCUGGCUCAGGACGAACGCUGGCGGCGUGCUUAACACAUGCAAGUCGAACGAUGAAGCUCUUUCGGGGGUGGAUUAGUGGCGAACGGGUGAGUAAUACGUGAGUAACCUGCCCCCUUCUUUGGGAUAAGCCUUGGAAACGGGGUCUAAUACUGGAUAUUCCUGGUCUGGCGCAUGUCGGGUUGGGGAAAGUUUUAUCGGUGGGGGAUGGGCUCGCGGCCUAUCAGCUUGUUGGUGGGGUGAUGGCCUACCAAGGCGUCGACGGGUAGCCGGCCUGAGAGGGUGACCGGUCACACUGGGACUGAGAUACGGCCCAGACUCCUACGGGAGGCAGCAGUGGGGGAUAUUGCACAAUGGGCGCAAGCCUGAUGCAGCGACGCCGCGUGAGGGAUGACGGCUUUCGGGUUGUAAA
rnacentral:rRNA from 1 species